UACUACUUUCAUGUUGGAACACAGAAAGUCGGAAACGGUCCGCCGCCGGAGGACGUGACUGCGGCUUCAUUAGGUAGAUGGUGGGGUAACGGCCCACCAUGCCGAUAAUCGGUACGGGUUGUGAGAGCAAGAACCCGGAGACGGUAUCUGAGACAAGAUACCGGGCCCUACGGGGCGCAGCAGGCGCGAAACCUUUACACUGCACGCCAGUGCGAUAAGGGGACCCCGAGUGCGAGGGCAUACAGUCCUCGCUUUUCGUGACCGUAAGGUGGUCACAGAAUAAGAGCUGGGCAAGACCGUUGCCAGCCGCCGCGGUAAUACCGGCAGCUCGAGUGAUAGCCACUUUUAUUGGGCCUAAAGCGUCCGUAGCCGGCCGAACAGGUCCGUCGGGAAAUCCACUCGCCCAACGAGUGGACGUCCGGCGGAAACCAGUCGGCUUGGGGCCGGGAGACCAGAGAGGUACGUCCGGGGUAGGAGUGAAAUCCUGUAAUCCUGGACGGACCGCCGGUAGCGAAAGCGUCUCUGGAGAACGGACCCGACGGUGAGGGACGAAAGCUUGGGUCUCGAACCGGAUUAGAUACCCGGGUAGUCCAAGCCGUAAACGAUGCUCGCUAGGUGUGGCGUUGGCUACGAGCCAGCGCUGUGCCGUAGGGAAGCCGAGAAGCGAGCCGCCUGGGAAGUACGUCCGCAAGGAUGAAACUUAAAGGAAUUGGCGGGGGAGCACUACAACCGGAGGAGCCUGCGGUUUAAUUGGACUCAACGCCGGACAUCUCACCGGCACCGACAGUGUGCAGUGACAGUCAGUCUGAUGGGCUUACUUGAGCCACUGAGAGGAGGUGCAUGGCCGCCGUCAGCUCGUACCGUGAGGCGUCCUGUUAAGUCAGGCAACGAGCGAGACCCGCGUCCCUAAUUGCCAGCAGCAGCCUUGUGCUGGCUGGGUACAUUAGGGAGACUGCCGUCGCUAAGACGGAGGAAGGAACGGGCAACGGUAGGUCAGUAUGCCCCGAAUGUGCCGGGCGACACGCGGGCUACAAUGGCCGAGACAGUGGGACGCUACCCCGAGAGGGGACGCUAAUCUCCUAACCUCGGUCGUAGUUCGGAUUGCGGGUUGAAACCCACCCGCAUGAAGCUGGAUUCGGUAGUAAUCGCUCUCAGAAGGGCGCGGUGAAUACGUCCCUG
rnacentral:rRNA from 1 species